GUACUGUUGGUUCAGUGGUAUAAUUUUCACCUUCCAUGCAAGAGACCUGGGUUCAAGUCCCAGGCAAUGCA
rnacentral:tRNA from 1 species